GACGAACGCUGGCGGCGUGCUUAACACAUGCAAGUCGAACGGAAAGGCCCUGCUUUUGUGGGGUGCUCGAGUGGCGAACGGGUGAGUAACACGUGAGUAACCUGCCCUUGACUUUGGGAUAACUUCAGGAAACUGGGGCUAAUACCGGAUAGGAGCUCCUGCUGCAUGGUGGGGGUUGGAAAGUUUCGGCGGUUGGGGAUGGACUCGCGGCUUAUCAGCUUGUUGGUGGGGUAGUGGCUUACCAAGGCUUUGACGGGUAGCCGGCCUGAGAGGGUGACCGGCCACAUUGGGACUGAGAUACGGCCCAGACUCCUACGGGAGGCAGCAGUGGGGAAUAUUGCACAAUGGGCGGAAGCCUGAUGCAGCAACGCCGCGUGCGGGAUGACGGCCUUCGGGUUGUAAACCGCUUUCGCCUGUGACGAAGCGUGAGUGACGGUAAUGGGUAAAGAAGCACCGGCUAACUACGUGCCAGCAGCCGCGGUGAUACGUAGGGUGCGAGCGUUGUCCGGAUUUAUUGGGCGUAAAGGGCUCGUAGGUGGUUGAUCGCGUCGGAAGUGUAAUCUUGGGGCUUAACCCUGAGCGUGCUUUCGAUACGGGUUGACUUGAGGAAGGUAGGGGAGAAUGGAAUUCCUGGUGGAGCGGUGGAAUGCGCAGAUAUCAGGAGGAACACCAGUGGCGAAGGCGGUUCUCUGGGCCUUUCCUGACGCUGAGGAGCGAAAGCGUGGGGAGCGAACAGGCUUAGAUACCCUGGUAGUCCACGCUGU
rnacentral:rRNA from 1 species